GAAUACCCGCUGAACUUAAGCAUAUCAAUAAGCGGAGGAAAAGAAACCAACAGGGAUUGCCCUAGUAACGGCGAGUGAAGCGGCAACAGCUCAAAUUUGAAAUCUGGCUUCGGCCCGAGUUGUAAUUUGUAGAGGAUGCUUUUGGUGAGGUGCCUUCUGAGUUCCCUGGAACGGGACGCCAGAGAGGGUGAGAGCCCCGUAUAGUCGGCCACCGAUCCUUUGUAAAGCUCCUUCGACGAGUCGAGUAGUUUGGGAAUGCUGCUCAAAAUGGGAGGUAUAUCUCUUCUAAAGCUAAAUAUAGGCCAGAGACCGAUAGCGCACAAGUAGAGUGAUCGAAAGAUGAAAAGCACUUUGAAAAGAGGGUUAAAUAGCACGUGAAAUUGUUGAAAGGGAAGCGCUUGUGACCAGACUUGUGCCGGGCUGAUCAUCCAGUGUUCUCACUGGUGCACUCGACCCGGCUCAGGCCAGCGUCGGUUUUCGCGGGGGGAUAAAAGCUUCGGGAACGUGGSMACUUCGGGUGUGUUAUAGCCCGUUGCUUAAU
rnacentral:rRNA from 1 species